GCCUAGUUAGCUUAGUUGGUAGUGCGUCUGCCUUGUAAGCGCUAGGCCGCGGGUUCGAUUCCCGCCCUGGGCG
rfam:Asian citrus Psyllid, Diaphorina citri - Florida Strain, whole genome shotgun sequence.